UUGAGCACACCUGUUCCUCAUUGAAGCCAAUCACCUCCACUCUAAUGCUGACUUUUAAGACCAGCUCUGCAUGCCUGAGCGAAUAUUUUUCUUCAGAGUUUUCUUCACUCAAGCUCAGCUCUAUUCAUCGAGACAAAUCGUCGCCAUUUCUGACUGCUGUACCUCUGAAAACCGCAUGCUGCAAGGCAACUUGUCUUACUGGCACCAACGAGCUGUUGCUGUCAGUCUCAGCUGCAUAUGGCGUAUUUAACAAGCUGCUCUUGUCUGGUAACUCUAUCAGAGUUAAUACGCAGCAGGCCUGAUCUCUGAGGGACUCGGGUUCUGAGCAACCAUAAUCCUCAGACAGCCCAUAUCACACAGGAGCAGACGCAAGAGGUCCACGCCAAUUUGACUCUGCCAUGGUGAGAAG